rnacentral:rRNA from 1 species
AAGCGAUCUUCGGGUCGUGAGUAGAGCGGCGCACGGGUGCGUAAGACGCGGGUGACCUAUCCGAGAGGCGGGGAUAACCCUUCGAAAGAGGGGCUAAUACCGGAUGAGCCCACAGGCGGAAACGCGAGGGGGCAAAGGGUGCGGUUUAUUAAGCGCAUCUCUUCUUGGCGGGGCCCACGGCCUAUCAGCUAGUUGGUGGGGUAAUGGCCUACCAAGGCGAAGACGGGUAGCUGGUCUGAGAGGAUGGCCAGCCACACGGGGACUGAGACACGGCCCCGACUCCUACGGGAGGCAGCAGUGGGGAAUAUUGGGCAAUGGGCGCAAGCCUGACCCAGCGACGCCGCGUGGGUGAUGAAGGCCUUCGGG